AACCCUCUGCAGCUCAGUUUCCUCAGCCUCAUAGGGUUAUCGUGAGGAGUGAAGAAACAGUGAGUAUCUAUAAACAGUUAGAAGAGGGUCUGGUGUAUUGUGAACCUCCUAGGAAUUUGCCAUAAUUCUAAAAAUCUCUUCUUGUCCCUGGCUUCUCUCCUGUUUAGCAGUGAUGGGCCCUGGAGCCUUUCUCCUGAGGAGAGGGAGUUGUUGGGGAGAGACUGCAAAUGCUUCUUACUUAAUUCCUUUCUUUCUUUCUUUUUUUCCUUUUUGAACACAAAAGGAGUUGAAAAUGGUCAAAGAUCCUCCUGAAAAAAUGCUUCCACAUUUUGAAUAAAUAUAUUCUACUUUGUUUUUGCUUUCCCAUUUCCCCCUGAAGAGAUAAUUAUUUAACAAUAAAAUUUUGCAUUGACUCUGGAUGCUGAUAGUGGCAUCAGCACCCUACCCCUGACCUCACAAGCCCAUCUAGCCUGCACCUGUCUUCUCUCUUACUCUUGAAACGGCGAAGCCCUCUUCCCAUAUGAAGUUCAGUCUCUCACCUAUGCUGGAGAUCCCAGCGACCUCACCAUCUCAGAAGUCCUGCAUUCUCAAUUACUCCUCUUUUGUACCCACCUCUCCUUCCCAAUUACAUCUUUCCCACCAACAUUUCGCUCCUUCUCAUCUUAAGUCAGACGAGGUAACCCUCCGUAGAUUCCAUAUCCCUUUUGAGCUACUGUCCUAUCUUCUCCUUCACGUGAUAUUUCUUGAAAGAUAUCCUCAUCUUCCAGUUACUUCUCAACCCACUCGGGCCUGGCUUCCCUGCUGUCAGCGUAACAGAACAGCUGUUACUAAGGUGACCCAUAACCUUAUGUCACUAAAUCCACAGGCAUUUUUCAGGACUUACCUUACUUUGACUUACAAAAAUAUUCAAUAGUGUUGACUUACUGAACUCCUUAUUGAAACUUUUUAAAAGAUAUUUACAUGUGGUUUUUUUAAUUUAAUUUUUUAGGUGGUGGGAGGGAGGUAAAUAGGUUUCAUUUACUUGUUUUGUUUUGUUUUUAGAGGAGGUACUGGGAAUUGAACCCAGGACCUCGUGCAUGCUAAGCAUUUGCUCUACCACUUUGGACUAUAUCCUGCCCCCUUAUUGAAACUUUUUUAUUCACCAUUGGCUAUCUGUUGUUCUGUGAAGAACAAAGCACUGUGUCUCUGACCCAGGAGUCUCAUGUCUGAUGCUGGCAUCCAGGAAACAGUGUCUAACUUAUUACAUAACUUAUGAGUAGGGUAAAGUCAAAUCCCAGACAUGACACUAAGCAUUGUAUGCCUAGCAGCCCCAUAGUGCCUGGCGUGAAGUACAUGUUCUGUAUUUAUUUGUGAGGUGGGUGGAUGCCGAGACAUUGCAGGGAUCAAGCCCUGUCAGAACAGACACCUGUGUUCUGGGAUUGUGGGGGAGACAGCUGAGGGAACACGAAGGUUAAUUUGAUCUGAAGUCUCUCUGGAUUUUGUGUUUAACUGGAGAGUAUUUUGAUCAGUCAGCUUCUCUUCUGAUACGUAAACCAUCCGACACGGGUAAUCCUGUUAGUUCCAUCUUACUCUGAAUUACUUGAAUUGAUGUUACGUCCUAACAUUUAGCUGAGUUUAGCAGUGGUACAUGAGGAGGGCUGAUGUGGGAGGUAGGGCAGCCUGGGGUGGGCAGAGGCCUGGGUUCUGUUUCAAAGGGGGAAUUCUGGAUAUUCCUAGGUUUCUUGGAGUGGGUGUGUGGGUGAGGGAAGCUAGAAGUGAAAAGGGGCAGUGGGACAACAGCAAAGGCAAACUUGGUCGGCCUUGAGACCUCCCCAAAGCUUGGGAGCAGUAGCUGGAGACACGCCAUAGAAGUUCAUCUCUGAAGCUGCUGAUGCCAGAAUGCUUCAGACUGUAACUGUCUCUGUUAGUAUAGACUGUUUGCCUUUUGCAAAUACCAUUUUUUAAAGUGACAUAAGCAAGUUUUUGCACAUAGAGUAAAAUUGUUUUCAGGACAGAUAAAAGAGUAGAAAGAAGGAAUGAGAACAUUAAAUUUGUAACUGUUAAGAUUUUUUAAAUUAGAAGUUGAAUAAAGUGUAGAAAGGCUAACAGCCUUUAGAGUGACAGAGGGGUUCUUGGAGUUGGCAAACAUGGCAAGAAUUAUCUAGGCUUUGACUCUCUGCAGGAGGGAUAUCACCCCUAAGUGGGGGUAAAAAUUGGUCCUUAGGGGACAGAAAAAAACCUUAGUUAUUCAGUGGCCUACAUGGCCAGAGUACCUAAACAGAAAUGUAGCGCAUUUGUGGUAUUAAAAUUUCAUGGUGGGAGGGGGGGAUUAAGGGAAAAUGUCUUAAAGUCUCCUUACUGGGGCGAUAAUGAAAAAAAGAUUGAGAAACACUGGACUAGAUGAUUCAAAUGGAAGGAUUUUUUUGACCACCAAUGGGUCCUCCUGGGGAAAUGAAUUGGAAAUGUGUUGUCUCAGCAGAAGGAAAAGAUCUUACACGUUGUCUAGUGAGUGUCCAUUGGGAGAUCUAAAAGCAGCAGUGAGCAGCUGGGUCACCCCCUCAGCUGUUCAGUAGGUGAUAAGCUGCUGGCUCCAUAUAGCUUCAGUGCCCAGACACACAGGGCCAGCUCCUGGACACAGCAAACGGAAGGUAUGAAUCGGGGUGGGAGUCAGGAUUCUAGGAGUUAAACCACCCGCCUUCUACCCUCCUGAUUUAUUUUGUUCUGUUCUGUUCUGUUCUUACCUGCCUCCCUCCCUACUCCUCUCCUGCUAGCUCUCAAGACUCCCAUUAUUCACCUUUGCUGGAGGCCAGGGGAUCAAUAGCAAAGUUAAUGAGUGAAUGAAAAGAAUGCUAGAAACAGAGAACCACAAGCUGACAUCCAAGAAAGAACUGACGUUCAGCCGUAUGGUUUUAGUGUGCAAAGCCAAGGGCUGCUGUACACAGUGCCAGGCUGGACUUCUCAGGACUCGAAGAAUUGUAACAGCUACUCAGGGACUUUGCCAGUCAGCACUCGGACGAAGGUUGAUUUGCACCAUGAAGGCAGGGCUCCUGGAAGUCCCACCGCAGCAGACCUUGGAGGUCUUUCAUUCAUCCAAGACAUGCAGCUGCACAGAGUUGCCUCCAGGGCCAAAACCCACCAACAGGAAAACAGCCUCUCAGAAAUAGACAAUCCGCUUCUCAUCUUCAAAUACUUUGGCCUCCUCUGGCUUUAUCAAGUUCCCAUUUAAGCUGUUGGAGAAGAACAAAGAACACAAAAGUGAAUCCUCAGAGCAGAAACAGGAAGUCAAGAAAGAGCACAGUCAGCUCAAACCCAGCCUAGAAGCCCAGAGAAGGAAAAGAAUGAGCUUCAAACUCCACGUCCACACAGCCAUCUCUCAGUCUCAUGAGUCCCGGAGUGAUUCACCUUCAGCAGGAAUCCUUCUGCAGGGGUGCCCAAUCAAAAACAUGGAGACUACCAGUCUAAACAACAAUUUCUAAGAAACCAUCUGGAGAACCGGCAGUCUGAUGUCUCCUUCCAGGUGGCUAGAGAAAGCAACUCAAACAGCCACAAAGACUCCACCCGGAGGUGGCCCCUGCCCCGGCUGAUUUGAGGCAGGAAGCAGAAGUGUCGGCCUCGUCAGCAUCUGCUCAGGCUCGAGCAGGACAGGCAGCAGACUGCUCGAGGAGAGGCCAGACAGGACACGGAACAUCAGCAACACUUGGGACACAGCCGACUGCAGGCUGAGGCGGCCAGGCUGACAUCUCACAGGUACCCAUCAGCGAGGCCUGGAGAAGCUUCCUCUGCUCUCAUAAGAAAGGAACUCUGCUAUUGCCCCUACCAUAUUAGACUCUCUGCCAGUGACAGGAAGGACGCGGGUAACUGGGAGACAUCCAAGCCUCAGAGAUUCGGCCAGAAAAGGAGGGCCGGGGAGGAGCAGGUCUAUUUCCAGAGAUAACAGGUUCCUGCUUGUCCCAGCACCAUCCUGAGGGUGACGGAGGGACAGGAAUCUGUUGCCCAGUGUCCCUUUCAGUUUUAUUUGGACUGAAUAAUUCCUUCCCCACCUCCAGGGGGCCUGGGGAGGUGGCGGGGGCUGGCAGCACCCUAUGUCUUAAUCUGACUGGCGUGUGCAUGUGUCACACCAUGGAGCUGAAAACUCAAGCUUUCUGUAUGCCUUUAUUGUAUGUCUCUUAUAGUCAAUAAAAACGUUUUUAAAAAGAAAAA